GUGAGGAAUAUUGCGCAAUGGAGGCAACUCUGACGCAGCCAUGCCGCGUGCAGGAAGAAGGCGCUACGCGUUGUAAACUGCUUUUAACCGGGAAGAAACCCCAGGACGUGUCCUGGGUUGACGGUACCGGAGGAAUAAGCACCGGCUAACUUCGUGCCAGCAGCCGCGGUAAUACGAAGGGUGCAAGCGUUAUCCGGAUUCAUUGGGUUUAAAGGGUGCGUAGGCGGAGCGUUAAGUCAGUGGUGAAAUCCUGCAGCUUAACUGUAGACUUGCCAUUGAUACUGGCGCUCUUGAGUGCGCUUGAAGUGGGCGGAAUGUGCCGUGUAGCGGUGAAAUGCUUAGAUAUGAUACAGAACACCGAUAGCGAAGGCAGCUUGCUGAACCAUUAUUGACGCUGAGGCACGAAAGCGUGGGGAGCGAACAGGAUUAGAUACCCUUGUAGUCC
rnacentral:rRNA from 1 species